rnacentral:rRNA from 1 species
UUCCGCAAGGAAUGUGAUGAAUCAUAGUAAUCGAACGAAUCGCAGGUAUAUGCGAUAAGUCAUUCAAGUUUCUGCCCUAUCAGCUUUGGAUGGUAGUGUAUUGGACUACCAUGGCAGUCACGGGUAACGGAGAAUUAGGGUUCGAUUCCGGAGAGGGAGCCUGAGAAACGGCUACCACAUCUACGGAAGGCAGCAGGCGCGCAAAUUGCCCAAUCCCGACACGGGGAGGCAGUGACAAGAAAUAACAACUCUAGGUUUUCUUAGAAGUGUAAUGAGGAUAAUUUACAAACCUUACCAAAUGCAAUUGGAGGGCAAGUCUGGUGCCAGCAGCCGCGGUAAUUCCAGCUCCAAUAGCGUAUAUUAGAGUUGUUGCAGUUAAAAAGCUCGUAGUUGAAAAUCUGAUUGCUCAGGUCUCCAGCCUUUAGGCGGGGAUUCUGACAGUCAUCCGCUUGCAAACAUAUGUUCGAUCUUCACCGGUUGGCUAUGUGAGUAAGCACUUUACCUUGAGAAAAACAGAGUGUUCCAGGCGGGUUUGUCCGGAAUGCAUUAGCAUGGAAUAAUAGAACAUGACUGAAGUCUAUUUAUUGGUUAAAGGCUUUAGUAAUGAUUAAUAGGAACAGUCGGGGGCAUUCGUACUCAGCAGUCAGAGGUGAAAUUCUAAGAUUUGCUGAAGACGAACUAAUGCGAAAGCAUUUGCCAAGGAUGUUUUCAUUAAUCAAGAACGAAAGUUAGGGGAUCAAAGACGAUCAGAUACCGUCCUAGUCUUAACUAUAAACGAUACCGACUCGGAUUCAGAUGAAUCAAAAAGUUCAUUUGGGACCGUAGGAGAAAUCAAAGUCCUUGGGUUCUGGGGGGAGUAUGGUCGCAAGGCUGAAACUUAAAGGAAUUGACGGUUUUGCACCACCAUGGAGUGGAGUUUGCGGCUUAAUUUGACACAACACUGGGAAACUCAUCAGGGCAAGAAGAUUUUAGGAUUGACAGAUUGAGAGUUCUUUCUUGAUUGGUCUAGUGGUGGUGCAUGGCCGUUCUUAGUUGGUGGAGUGAUUUGUCUGGUUAAUUCCGUUAACGAACGAGACCUUAACCUACUAACUAGUGUUCCGAUCUCAAAUCGGAAGCACUUCUUAGAGGGACUAUGUGAUGUAAUCACAUGGAAGUUUGAGGCAAUAACAGGUCUGUGAUGCCCUUAGAUGUCCUGAGCUGCACGCGUACUACAAUGGCACUUUCAACGAGUUUUUCCUGAUCCGAAAGGAUUUGGGUAAUCUUUUUAGUGAGUGCCGUGAUUGGGAUAGAUCUUUGUAAUUGUGGAUCUUGAACUAGG